rnacentral:rRNA from 1 species
GAUGAACGCUGGCGGCGUGCCUAAUACAUGCCAGUCGAGCGAACAGACGAGGAGCUUGCUCCUCUGACGUUAGCGGCGGACGGGUGAGUAACACGUGGAUAACCUACCUAUAAGACUGGGAUAACUUCGGGAAACCGGAGCUAAUACCGGAUAAUAUAUUGAACCGCAUGGUUCAAUAGUGAAAGACGGUUUUGCUGUCACUUAUAGAUGGAUCCGCGCCGCAUUAGCUAGUUGGUAAGGUAACGGCUUACCAAGGCAACGAUGCGCAGCCGACCUGAGAGGGUGAUCGGCCACACUGGAACUGAGACACGGUCCAGACUCCUACGGGAGGCAGCAGUAGGGAAUCUUCCGCAAUGGGCGAAAGCCUGACGGAGCAACGCCGCGUGAGUGAUGAAGGUCUUCGGAUCGUAAAACUCUGUUAUUAGGGAAGAACAAAUGUGUAAGUAACUAUGCACGUCUUGACGGUACCUAAUCAGAAAGCCACGGCUAACUACGUG